UACGUAGGGGGCAAGCGUUGUCCGGAUUUAUUGGGCGUAAAGAGCGUGUAGGCGGCCAGAUAGGUCAGCUGUGAAAACUCGAGGCUCAACCUCGAGACGUCGGUUGAAACCAUCUGGCUAGAGUCCGGAAGAGGAGAGUGGAAUUCCCGGUGUAGCGGUGAAAUGCGCAGAUAUCGGGAAGAACACCCGUGGCGAAGGCGGCUCUCUAGUACGGUACUGACGCUGAGACGCGAAAGCGUGGGGAGCGAACAGG
rnacentral:rRNA from 1 species